ACCAGAAAACACCGCUCGGGCGGGGGCCGGGUCACGCCGGCGGGGCGGCGGCUCUGGGCCCCGGGGCGCGCCCGGCGCGGGGAGGGGUUCUGCGGCCUCCUCCCGGGCUGCGCCUCGCUGAGGGGACCCCCCGCCGCCUCCCCGCCCCCUCCUUCCUCCCGCUCGGGGCCGCCGCCGAUCGGUUCUCGCCGUCGCCGCGGGGCUUGUUGUUGACUUUGAGGAAAACUCCUGACGUCAGGGGCUGGCUCUCGGCGACUGGCGGGAGCGGCUUCCCCGCGUCCCCGGCCCUGCCCGCCGCCUCUGCUCCCCUCCCUGCCCGGCCCUCGUCCUCAGGCUUCCCCGCGCCCCCAAACCAGCGGUGCCCCGCGCCCCCUCUCCUCUCGCGAGAACAUCCCCCUAGCCAGCCAGAGCCGGGAGCGGGGGCAGUCGCUCCCGGGCGGGAAGUUCUGGGUUUCCCCCUCGCCCGCGUGGCCCUUGGCGGGCACCCGAGGCCCGGGAGCGGAGGCUCCUCGCCCAGCCGCUUCCUCGGCGCAUCCGCCCACCCGCCCUGGCCGCGGACGCGCGCGCCGCCAGGCCCCGGGCGUCUCCUCCAGUCCGCCGCGGCCCCUUGGGGAGAUGGGCCCGGCGCGAGGGCUCGCACCUGGAAGCCCACGAAGUGGGCGGUGCCCAAUGAGGUAGGGACCGGAGAGCGCGGAGCAGUCCAGAAGCCGACCCCACCCCCUGCACCUCGGGGAAGAGGGAACCCGGGUCAGCCCGUAGCAAGAAUCAUUCCUGACUAUCCCAGGAGACCACGGCAGACCAAAAACACCUCUCUGAACAGCCUUCCGCACCGCUCGCUGCAAGCAUUCGUCCACACACGGUACACAGAUUGCGGGCGGAUCGUAAUUCACUCUUGAAAUCACACCCUUUUUAGGGAUAUUCGUUUUCAAUGACUUUGGGAAAGCCACGAGGUACUACAUUUACUACGAAGAGACCGUUUCUUUAUUUUGAAGUCAGUGACUCCUGAGACUGCAUUGGGGACAACUUUUUUGCACAAUGACCAUAUUUUACCAUGCAGCGCACUUCAGAAAAUUAUAAAAGUUUACAAGUUUUAUCGCUUCUGGAAACACCUGGGCAGCAUCCCUAUUAUCCCGCCACGUGGCUCUAGCCUUGUUGAUGUACCUGUUACUUUCUCCCACUGCAACAUUUUUGUUAAUGUCUGUGGCUUCUUUCUGCAGAAGAGUUCCUCCUCCUGACAUGCACUUCAUUCUCUGCUUUUCUAUGUCUUGACAACUCUCUUAUGGUAGUCAUUUUCUUAUACUGUAGCCCCCUGGUAUUUAUGUACUGUGUGGUAUUAAUAUUUAUACUUCCAGGUUCACAUCUUUUAUGAACUGUGCAUCUGUUGGGAUUGUGGACAGGAGUAGGAAACCAAAUAAAAGGGUUUUUUAAAAAAGUCAGUUUUCUCCGUUUGUAAGGGAAACUUGUCUCCCUGACCACCCUGGAGCAAAAUUUGCCAUUUUAAGAUAACACAGUCCGUCUGAGAGAAAGUCCUGCACCAUGCCUUUCCCCUUUUCCCAUAUUUCCCAGCAUGCUAUGAGCUGAUGAAUAAACAGACUUUGUCCUAUUUUCGUUGUAUCUAUAAAAUAUACAUAAUGUAUUCCCAUAAUUAUCAGACCUCUCACAGUCACUAUUGGUAAAAUUAUUGGGUUACAGGUUUCUUGCUGUAAAACACAAAAAUAGGUCAUAUUUUUAUUCCAUAGUACCCCAACUUGCUUUUUAUUUUUAAGAAAAUAGUCCCUUAUGACACCAGCACUAAAAAGAGUGUCUGAAACUUUAAAUACUUAACUUUUGAGAGUCAGAGUAUCCGGAAUUACUGAAUUACUAGAUAUCUCUUAUCAGUGAGAUGUUCAUUUGUUCCCAAAUUUAACAUCAAUAUAUUUACAAGAACUGAAUGUGUCUUAUGAGCCAUACUACCUCAAAAUAUUUCUCCCAGUCUGGUCAGAUUGCAUUAAAUCUUAGGUGGAUUAAACCCUAAAAUUCAGUAUGUGAGAAUGGAUUAUAUACUCUCGGCUUCAUGUAUUUGAAGAAUUAUAAGUUUUUAUUUCUGUUCAAUUUUUGCUUGUGGACUAUAGUAGUUUCAUAAGUUUCCAUAAUAAAAGCAUGUUUGAUUUUGUUAUUGAAUUACUAUUGAUUAGGGAUAUUAUUUAUUUAAAUAACGUUGUUCUUUCUCUUAGACUAUGCCGGUAUGAAUUUGGUAGAAUCUGCCGAUUGUGGUAUGUCGGUACUCC
rnacentral:lncRNA from 10 species